AUGGUGUUCGGCCGGGGCAAGCCGUCCUCGUCCACGCCCUCCACGGCGGCCGCCACCUCGUCGGCUGCCGCGGCGGCGUGCUCCGACCUCCGGGCGGCGUACCACGAGUGCUUCAACCGGUGGUACGCCGACAAGUUCGCCAAGGGCCAGUGGAACAAGGACGACUGCGCCGCCGACUGGCACAAGUACCGCGCCUGCCUCGAGGAACAUCUCGAAGACAAGCAUCUCAGGCAAAUCCUACUGGAGUCGGAAACAUCUCCCUCUUAUGCCCAGCUUGAUCCCGAUUCUUCGUCACGACAAGGUGCCACCCCAUCAAAAUGA
rnacentral:rRNA from 1 species